UUUGCGCUCUGUGGCGCCUCGACAUUGCCUCCAGUAAUCUGGCGGUAGUUAGGAACUAGUCAGCGCGGCGAGGAGGGUGAAAGUUCAGCCCCAGGGCUGGGUGACGUCAGCGGAGGGGGCGGUACGCCUCGGCAUUUCGCGGCGGAGGGGAAAGUCCGGGCUGUUUCAGCCAAGGAAUGGGAGGCGCCCUAGCCUCCCCGCAGGCCACAGCGCUGGGAAUCCUGCCUUCCCUGCUAUCUCCCUGAGGCAAGGGGGUGCUGGCUUCUCCAAAACCAGUCUGGAAGAUUGAAGGUUAACACGGCGUGUUUCUUGGUCACUCUCCACCUUACAUUUUAAGACCUGGUGUGUCACUGAACCUGGAACUAACCGACUCUGCUAGACUGGUUCUGACAAUUGCUCUAGCACAGAUGAACCUUGAGGGCAUUAAGCCAAGUGAAAUAAGCCAGUGACAAAAAGACAAAUGUUCUGAUCACACUUAAACAAGGUAAGUAGAAUGGUCAAGCACAUAGAGACAGAAAGUAGAACGUUAGCAGCUAGGGGGUGUGGGGAGGGCAGAAUGGGGCUUUGUUGUUCAAUGGACGUAAAGGUUCAGUUUGCAAAAGGAAAGGGUGAGGCUGAGGGCACUGCUCUCUAGCAGAACACUCACCUGGCGUGUCUGAGACCUGAGUUUAAUGCCCAACAGCUCAUGCACACACACAUACACAGGAGAAAGAAGAAAAGGAAGCUACCUUUUACUACAAAUGUAUUUUAUUUUAUGUGUGUGUGCCUGAGUUGCAAGUGCCCACUGAGUGCAGAAGAAGGUGUUGGAUGUCUUGGAAUUGGAGUUAGCUGUGGUUGUGAACCACCUCAUGUGCUGAGAGCUGUACUUUGACCCUCUGCAAUAGGCCGUACUCUUAACUGCUAAGCCCUUUCUCCAGCCCUCUCACUAUAUGUGUUUUGAACCAUGUAAUAACGUCGUAAUGACUUUUGUUUAGACAGCUCACUAUCUUUUUAAGAUAUUUACACAAAUAAAAGAUAUUUUGAAAAUUCUCAUAGGGCUCGGGUGUGGCUCAGUUGUAGAACACUUGCCUACAUUAAGCCAUGGGUUUCAUCGUCAG